CAGGCCUAACACAUGCAAGUCGAGCGGGGGUAGCAAUAGGUCAGCGGCAGACGGGUGAGUAACGCGUGGGAACGUACCUUUUGGUUCGGAACAACACAGGGAAACUUGUGCUAAUACCGGAUAAGCCCUUACGGGGAAAGAUUUAUCGCCGAAAGAUCGGCCCGCGUCUGAUUAGCUAGUUGGUAGGGUAAUGGCCUACCAAGGCGACGAUCAGUAGCUGGUCUGAGAGGAUGAUCAGCCACAUUGGGACUGAGACACGGCCCAAACUCCUACGGGAGGCAGCAGUGGGGAAUAUUGGACAAUGGGCGCAAGCCUGAUCCAGCCAUGCCGCGUGAGUGAUGAAGGCCCUAGGGUUGUAAAGCUCUUUUGUGCGGGAAGAUAAUGACGGUGACCGCAAGAAUAAGCCCCGGCUAACUUCGUGCCAGCAGCCGCGGUAAU
rnacentral:rRNA from 1 species